rnacentral:rRNA from 1 species
GUCCACGCCGUAAACGAUGGAUGCUAGCCGUUGGUAAGCAUGCUUAUCAGUGGCGCAGCUAACGCAUUAAGCGUCCCGCCUGGGGAGUACGGCCGCAAGGUUGAAACUCAAAGGAAUUGACGGGGGCCCCGCACAAGCGGUGUAGCAUGUGGUUUAAUUCGACGCAACGCGCAGAACCUUACCAGGGUUUGACAUCCCGCGCUAAACUCAGAGAUGGGUGGUCCCCGCAAGGGGCGCUGAGACAGGUGCUGCAUGGCUGUCGU